rnacentral:rRNA from 1 species
CAGCAGCCGCGGUAAUGCGAAGGGUGCAAGCGUUAAUCGGAAUUACUGGGCGUAAAGCGUGCGUAGGCGGUUUGUUAAGUCUGUUGUGAAAUCCCCGGGCUCAACCUGGGAAUGGCAGUGGAUACUGGCUCGCUAGAGUGUGUCAGAGGAUGGUGGAAUUCCCGGUGUAACGGUGAAAUGCGUAGAGAUCGGGAGGAACAUCAGUGGCGAAGGCGGCCAUCUGGGACAACACUGACGCUGAGGCACGAAAGCGUGGGGAGCAAACAGGAUUAGAUACCCCUGUAGUCCCUGUCUCUUAUAA